GGGGCAGUACUGGUUUCGACAGGGGCCAUGCAGCUGGUGAAGCUAUCCGUAUGCAAUGCGUUAAAUGGCAAACCUAAAUAUAAACGCUGAUAGAAAAUUAGCAAUCGCUGCUUAAUAGUAGCUGUCAGCCUUAAAGCACCCAUACUUUAAGAACCUGGCAUCGACUAUAUGGGAAACGACAUAUGCAAAGCUUUGAGCAUGUGGGCGUAUAAUGAAGCUACUAAAGCGCUCAGGGUGUUAAUCCCCGGGGCGUAGAGGGAAUGAAAAAGGAUUAACUAUGAUAGUAGAAGAACAGGGAAUUGGUUUUUGGACACGGGUUCAAAUCCCGUCUGCUCCACU
rnacentral:tmRNA from 1 species